rnacentral:rRNA from 1 species
AUUGAACGCUGGCGGCAGGCCUAACACAUGCAAGUCGAGCGGAUGAAGGGAGCUUGCUCCUGGAUUCAGCGGCGGACGGGUGAGUAAUGCCUAGGAAUCUGCCUGGUAGUGGGGGAUAACGUCCGGAAACGGGCGCUAAUACCGCAUACGUCCUGAGGGAGAAAGUGGGGGAUCUUCGGACCUCACGCUAUCAGAUGAGCCUAGGUCGGAUUAGCUAGUUGGUGGGGUAAAGGCCUACCAAGGCGACGAUCCGUAACUGGUCUGAGAGGAUGAUUAGUCACACUGGAACUGAGACACGGUCCAGACUCCUACGGGAGGCAGCAGUGGGGAAUAUUGGACAAUGGGCGAAAGCCUGAUCCAGCCAUGCCGCGUGUGUGAAGAAGGUCUUCGGAUUGUAAAGCACUUUAAGUUGGGAGGAAGGGCAGUAAGUUAAUACCUUGCUGUUUUGACGUUACCAGCAGAAUAAGCACCGGCUAACUUCGUG